rnacentral:misc_RNA from 1 species
GUCGAUAUCCUCGAUUACUGUUGGCGUCAUAUACAAUCUGAAGAUUUCCGUAAAUCGCCAGUCAAGCAUAUGACUGAACUACCCAAUUCCCCCUCCUUUACUAAUCAGGAUUUGCCGGAAUUUGUCACUAUAUACGAAGAUUCUGACCCCCAAUGGCAAACUAUAAGAUCCGACUGGUUUGAAACUAGGACCUGUUGGGCUGGUGUUUUCAAUACCUUCGAGGCGUUGGAGCACGAUUAUUUGGACUAUUUCAGGAAGUUAAACAACGGCGGAAGUGUAUUUGGAGUCGGACCGCUAAGCCUCAUCCAUAGCCACAGCCCACCUGCGGAUUCGAGUUCAGAUGAGAUACUGAAAUGGCUCGACGGAUGCCCUGAUGACUCGGUGCUAUACGUUAGCUUUGGGAGUCAAAAGCAGCUAAAUCAACAGCAAAUGGAAGCACUAGCAUCGGGGCUUGAGAAAAGCGGGAUUCGCUUCGUGUGGGUGGUAAAGACAAUUCAUCAAACAGUCG